rnacentral:rRNA from 1 species
AGUGGCGAACGGGUGAGUAACACGUGGGCAAUCUGCCCUUCACUCUGGGACAAGCCCUGGAAACGGGGUCUAAUACCGGAUAACACUCUGUCCCGCAUGGGACGGGGUUAAAAGCUCCGGCGGUGAAGGAUGAGCCCGCGGCCUAUCAGCUUGUUGGUGGGGUGAUGGCCUACCAAGGCGACGACGGGUAGCCGGCCUGAGAGGGCGACCGGCCACACUGGGACUGAGACACGGCCCAGACUCCUACGGGAGGCAGCAGUGGGGAAUAUUGCACAAUGGGCGAAAGCCUGAUGCAGCGACGCCGCGUGAGGGAUGACGGCCUUCGGGUUGUAAACCUCUUUCAGCAGGGAAGAAGCGAGAGUGACGGUACCUGCAGAAGAAGCGCCGGCUAACUACGUGCCAGCAGCCGCGGUAAUACGUAGGGCGCAAGCGUUGUCCGGAAUUAUUGGGCGUAAAGAGCUCGUAGGCGGCUUGUUGCGUCGGUUGUGAAAGCCCGGGGCUUAACCCCGGGUCUGCAGUCGAUACGGGCAGGCUAGAGUGUGGUAGGGGAGAUCGGAAUUCCUGGUGUAGCGGUGAAAUGCGCAGAUAUCAGGAGGAACACCGGUGGCGAAGGCGGAUCUCUGGGCCAUUACUGACGCUGAGGAGCGAAAGCGUGGGGAGCGAACAGGAUUAGAUACCCUGGUAGUCCACGCCGUAAACGUUGGGAACUAGGUGUUGGCGACAUUCCACGUCGUCGGUGCCGCAGCUAACGCAUU